GUGCACCAGGCGAGAAACUUCACACUGUGCGAAAGCACGAUGAGGGAAUCCCAAGUGCUUGCACGUAAGUGUAAGCUGUUUCUCUGUUUAAAACGCAGAGAGAGUAAGGGCUGGGUAAGACGGGUGCCAGCCGCCGCGGUAAUACCUGCAGCUCAAGUGGUGACCGUUAUUAUUGGGCCUAAAACGUCCGCAGCCGGUUUAAUAAAUGCCUGGGUAAAUCGUGUAGCUUAACUAUACGAAUUCCGGGUAGACUGUUAAACUCGAGACCGGGAGAAGUUAGAGGUACUCCUGGGGUAGAGGUGAAAUUCUGUAAUCCUAGGGGGACCACCAGUGGUGAAGGCGUCUAACUAGAACGGGUCUGACGGUGAGGGACGAAGCCCUGGGGCGCAAACGGGAUUAGAUACCCCCGUAGUCCCUGAA
rnacentral:rRNA from 1 species